rnacentral:rRNA from 1 species
AUUGAACGCUGGCGGCAUGCUUUACACAUGCAAGUCGAACGGUAACAGGUCUUCGGAUGCUGACGAGUGGCGGACGGGUGAGUAAUGCAUCGGAACGUGCCCAGUCGUGGGGGAUAACGCAGCGAAAGCUGCGCUAAUACCGCAUACGAUCUAUGGAUGAAAGCGGGGGACCGUAAGGCCUCGCGCGAUUGGAGCGGCCGAUGUCAGAUUAGGUAGUUGGUGGGGUAAAGGCCCACCAAGCCAACGAUCUGUAGCUGGUCUGAGAGGACGACCAGCCACACUGGGACGGAGACACGGCCCAGACUCCUACGGGAGGCAGCAGUGGGGAAUUUUGGACAAUGGGCGCAAGCCUGAUCCAGCAAUGCCGCGUGCAGGAAGAAGGCCUUCGGGUUGUAAACUGCUUUUGUACGGAACGAAACGGCUCUCUCUAAUACAGAGGGCUAAUGACGGUACCGUAAGAAUAAGCACCGGCUAACUACAUGCCAGCCGCCGCCGUAA